GAUGAACGCUAGCGGCAGGCCUAACACAUGCAAGUCGAGGGGUAGUUACUUUCGGGUAAUGAGACCGGCGCACGGGUGCGUAACGCGUAUGCAAUCUACCUUUUACAGGGGAAUAGCCCAGAGAAAUUUGGAUUAAUGCCCCAUAGUAUGUAUGAAUCGCAUGGUUUAUACAUUAAAGUUCCAACGGUAAAAGAUGAGCAUGCGUCCCAUUAGUUAGUUGGUAAGGUAACGGCUUACCAAGACGAUGAUGGGUAGGGGUCCUGAGAGGGAGAUCCCCCACACUGGUACUGAGACACGGACCAGACUCCUACGGGAGGCAGCAGUGAGGAAUAUUGGACAAUGGGCGCAAGCCUGAUCCAGCCAUGCCGCGUGCAGGAAGAAGCAUCUAUGGUGUGUAAACUGCUUUUGUACAGGAAGAAACACUCCCUCGUGAGGGAGCUUGACGGUACUGUAAGAAUAAGGAUCGGCUAACUCCGUGCCAGCAGCCGCGGUAAUG
rnacentral:rRNA from 1 species